UACAGAGGUGCCAAGCGUUAGGCGGAAUCACUGGGCUUAAAGCGCGUGUAGGCGGGUCGUUAAGUGUCCGAGUGAAAUCCCACGGCUCAACCGUGGAACUGCCGGGCAUACUGGCGAUCUUGAGGCAUUCAGGGGCGAGCGGAACAAAUGGUGGAGCGGUGAAAUGCGUAGAUAUCAUUUGGAACGCCAAUGGUGAAAACAGCUCGCUGGGAAUGAUCUGACGCUGAGACGCGAAAGCCAGGGAGCGAACGGG
rnacentral:rRNA from 1 species